UCUUCCACCAUCAACCUCCGUGACUUCAGCCAAGCUGUUUCACCUUCCAGCCCUGUGCCAGCCUGAUGACCAAGAUCCUUCUGCCUUUAUAAUGUGCCUUACUAUAACUGCUCUGUAUGUAUCAGCCACCAGAGUUCUUAAAGAAAGCUUUUGUUUUUGCCUUUUUCAUGUUUCUUUGUAUCUGGAUGUUUUACUAAAAGACACACGCAUGAAUCGUCUGAACUGAAAAAAAUCGACUAACUGAAAAAAAUGAGUGAGAAUUUGUUUAUUGUUGUUUUAUUUAUGUCAGCUUUAGGUUACGGUGACAUUGUUGUUUACCAAAUUGUAUUAAAAUGAAUAUAACUCCACAUCUGUUUGGCACAGAUGUUUUACUUUGAAAAUGACUCUAGUUUUUAUCCACAAUUGAAACUUUAAGAAGACGUGUUUAGAGUCGCAUAGAGUAACAAAGAGCCAGAGUUCACAAAGUGUGCUCAGAGUCCACUUUUGAAUAGGUUCAGGUUACCUCUCUCUAUACCUGUGAAAGGUAGCCAUUGCACUGGCUGCACAUGAAGGAGAAUAAGGAAUGUCAGUAAUAUUUGUUCUAAACCCAGUUUUUAUUGAAUCCUCCUCUCUGGAAAACAAAUAUUCAUGUUCUGAUCCAUGUUGAAAAAGUCAUGGAUGGACACAGUAGCAACAUAAUUGUGCUAAGUGAUCAUAUAUUCACUACAAAUGUCCAUUUUGUUUGGGGAUUUAACAUAAAUGAACUAAACAUAAGUUUAAGUAUUUGUUUGUUUUGCUUUUGUUUAUGUUUUUUAUUUCUCAAUAAAAUGCCAUGUUCAAAGUUGUCCAUAAUAUUCUUCAGUAAUGAAUAACAAUCCCUUCUGCUUUUUGCACGUCUUUACCUGAAUUUUAAACCUCUUUGGCAACUGUAUCCUUGUCUUUGAGGUUGGAAAGUGUUCAUGUGAUGUGAAUAAA